rnacentral:rRNA from 1 species
GGCCACCCAAGUCCAUCGGGAAAUCCACCUGCCCAACAGGUGGGCGUCCGGUGGAAACUGGCUGGCUUGGAACCGGAAGGCUCAGAGAGUACGUCCGGGGUAGGAGUGAAAUCCCGUAAUCCCGGACGGACUACCGAUGGCGAAAGCACUCUGAGAAGACGGCUUCGACAGUGAGGGACGAAAGCUCGGGUCUCAAACCGGAUUAGAUACCCGGGUAGUCCGAGCUGUAAACGAUGCUCGUUAGGUGUGGCACCCACUACGAGCCUGCGCUGUGCCGUAGGGAAGCCGAGAAACUGGCCGCCUGGGAAGUACGUCCGCAAGGAUGAAACUUAAAGGAAUUGGCGGGGGAGCACUACAACCGGAGGAGCCUGCGGUUUAAUUGGACUCAACGCCGGACAUCUCACCAGCUCCGACUACAGUGAUGACGACCAGGUUGAUGACCUUGUCACGACGCUGUAGAGAGGAGGUGCAUGGCCGCCGUCAGCUCGUACCGUGAGGCGUCCUGUUAAGUCAGGCAACGAGCGAGACCCGCACUCUUAAUUGCCAGCAUCAGGUUUCCUGGAUGGGUACAUUAAGAGGACUGCCGCUGCUAAAGCGGAGGAAGGAACGGGCAACGGUAGGUCAGUAUGCCCCGAAUGAGCUGGGCUACACGCGGGCUACAAUGGUCAAGACAAUGGGUUCCAACCUCGAGAGAGGACGGUAAUCUCCGAAACUUGGUCGUAGUUCGGAUUGUGGGCUGAAACUCGCCCACAUGAAGCUGGAUUCGGUAGUAAUCGCGUUUCA